UACCAUCUGCGCCUAGCUGGUGCUAUCUAGCAGUAUAGAUGGCUGAAGAGGGAAUCUGGUGUAACUCCAGAACUGACGCGCAGCGGUAAUAGAGAACGAACACUCUUAAGACACUGCCUCUAGUAUGGGGGUGGGAAGUCGAGUAAGUAGGAAAGUAUAGAGCUCUAAAGUCCGAAUACCUGCCAGCAACUGAGCAAACAC
rnacentral:ncRNA from 2 species